rnacentral:rRNA from 1 species
GUGGGGAAUAUUGGGCAAUGGGGGAAACCCUGACCCAGCAACGCCGCGUGAAGGAAGAAGGUUUUCGGAUCGUAAACUUCUAUCCUUGGUGAAGAUAACGACGGUAGCCAAGAAGGAAGCCCCGGCUAACUACGUGCCAGCAGCCGCGGUAAUACGUAGGGGGCAAGCGUUGUCCGGAAUGAUUGGGCGUAAAGGGCGCGUAGGCGGCCUGGUAAGUCUGGAGUGCAGGUCCUGCUUUUACGGUGCGAAUUGCUUUGGAUACUGUCGGGCUUGAGUGCAGGAGAGUUAAGUGGAAUUCCCGGUGUAGCGGUGACAUGCGUAGAGAUCGGGAGUAACACCAGUGGCGAAGGCGGCUUACUGGACUGUAACUGACGCUGAGGCGCGAAAGUGUGGGGAGCAAACAGGACUAGAAACCCCUGUAGUCC